UAGGGAAUCUUCCGCAAUGGGCGAAAGCUUGACGGAGCAACGCCGCGUGAGUGAUGAAGGUCUUCGGAUCGUAAAACUCUGUUAUUAGGGAAGAACAAAUGUGUAAGUAACUAUGCACGUCUUGACGGUACCUAAUCAGAAAGCCACGGCUAACUACGUGCCAGCAGCCGCGGUAAUACGUAGGUGGAAGCGUUAUCCGGAAUUAUUGGGCGUAAAGCGCGCGUAGGCGGUUUUUUAAGUCUGAUGUGAAAGCCCACGGCUCAACCGUGGAGGGUCAUUGGAAACUGGAAAACUUGAGUGCAGAAGAGGAAAGUGGAAUUCCAUGUGUAGCGGUGAGAUGCGCAGAGAUAUGGAGGAACACCAGUGGCGAAGGCGACUUUCUGGUCUGUAACUGACGCUGAUGUGCGAAAGCGUGGGGAUCAAACAGG
rnacentral:rRNA from 1 species